rnacentral:rRNA from 1 species
UUAAUAAGCGGAGGAAAAGAAACCAACAGGGAUUCCCUUAGUAAGGGCGACUGAACUGGGAAAAGCCCAGCGCAUAACCUCGCGUCCUCACCNNGGCGCGAGGGGUGUUGCGUUUCGGAGGGUCCGGCACGCCGUCUCAUACCGCCUAAGUCAUGCUUGAAAGCGGCCACUACCCAUGGAGGGUGACAGGCCCGUAUGGCGGAGCCCGCGAGGGUACAGAUGAGACGGUCGGAAAGGGCCUCUCUGUAGAGUCGGGUUGCUUGAUAAUGCAGCCCAAAGCAGGUGGUAAACUCCAUCUAAGGCUAAAUAUGACCACGAGACCGAUAGCGAACAAGUACCGUGAGGGAAAGUUGAAA